AUCGCCUCUUUCUGUUUUUUCAAAUUAUCUCCUCCUUUCUCUUCUGUUCGCUGGGUGAGUUUUUUCUGCACUACUUCUUGGUUGAUUUAAGUUUUUUGUGGCUUUGGACAAAAAAUGGAUGGCGAAAUAAGAAUGUGACAGAAAUCUGUUCAUCGACGAAGGUCGGCUUUCUUAGUUGUUGUAGGUGCUCCAGAUUCAGUGGAUCCCUUUUUCUGAUUACGGAGCUGGUAGUAAUUUUCUUGGGGUCUAUUUUACUUUCGUUCUAGGUACAACUACUAAGAGACAUGUAAUAUCUGUUGUAAGAAUAGUGCAUAGAGCCUCAUUGGAGAAAGACUUGAACUUGCUCGACAUCACCAACAGGACGAUGAAGUUCUGUUGCAACCAAAAAAGAAAAAAAUGAAGGAUAGAGCUUGGGUAUUCUUGUGACUUACCCAUCACAUGAAAGAAAGCUAUUUUGGAGCAGAUAAAUAUUGACAAUUAAAUCUCAAAAUUAGUGAUUCAGUGUUACAAAGCGGAGUUUAUGUCAAUGGAAGGAGUUAGAUUAGCAAAUUUCUUUGCCAUUGUCAGUCUCUUCACAAAUCUUUUGCUGCUUAGGUAUCCUUUUUUCAUUUGGCAAGAAUUGGGUUACUUCUUUUGGUGCAUUUUUUUCUUUAUUUAUAAUGCAUGCUGCUCUGUAGUCUCUGUUACUAACAUUAGUGUGCCUCCUCUUUUAUGCCUUUGGUCAGUUGGUUUUUGCAAGGUUUUUCCUAUGCUUCCGUUGCUCCUUUCUGGGCUUAUUUGUAAGUUUCUCUAUUUAUAGUGGAAUUUGUUUAUGGUGUAUGCUCUCAAUUCUGGCGAGUUUUCUAUCCAUUAUUUAUAUUAUUAAAACAUAUUUAUUGGUAGUAUAAAUUUGAUUUGUAUAUAUUAAUUUUCCUAUUCUUUUCAAUAAUUUUGUGCUGGAUUUUCUACAUGAAUAUCAUGGUUUGCCCAUGCAUGUUUGGUAAUAGAUGCAUAGGCGCAUGUAAGUGCUUUCUCUUUUAGGAUCAUUAAAUUUAAUUUUAUUUUUCCUCUUUAAAUUUUAAAAUAUUGCAACAAAUCGGAAACUGAAUGUUAGCCUUUCCACGGUACUUUUUAACUUUGUUGGUCGUUGAAAUGGUGAAAUAUAUAUAUAUAUAUAUAUAUUUUUUUUUUACAUUUCUGUUGGAUUUUCUCUUUAAUAUUAUUCUGUUAGUGCACGGAGAUGAAAAUUCUGCUUUUUGAGUCAAUUGUUUCCGAGGACUGUUCGUGCUACUGAAUAGUUUUAUGCGCUAAUGUUGUCUUUUCCUUCUGGACCUUCUUCUGAUGGAACGAGAAGAAUACCACUAUCGCCUCUUGGCUUUGCUUUCAUAUAAUCCAUUUGACUGAAACAAAGGUUAAUAGUUCUCUUCGUUUCUCUUUUCAAAACUGUUCCUUCGUUUAUGCAUAUAUCAAAAGUUUUCUGCUUUAAGAAUAUUGAUUAGAAUGUUGUGAAAUUAGUCUCAAAGCGCAUUUUGAAGAUUGUAUUAAGCUAAUUCUUUGUGUUUGAAAGAUCUGUAAGAUAUAGUUAAAUAGACCUGCAUCAUCGGUUGUCUGAUAUUAUAUGUUUUUCUUAUGCCUUCACACUUCUUGCCUUUUGGUCCUUAUUGUUUGUGGCUUAUGUUGUUUUUAUUAGGUUAAUUCUUACACACAUAAGCUAGAACUGUUUGAUUUUAGGAGUAUAAAGAUAUUGAUAUGCGGUGUUAACUGUUAAGUGCUCUUAUUCCUUCUAAAAUAGCAAAUUAUUGAUAUGUUUAUUUCUUUAUUGUACUUGCAUGGCUGAAAGAUAUAAGAGUCUUAUCGAUGAUUGGAAGACCUUUUUGGCCUUUGGAAUUUUUAGUGGGCCUUAUGACAUGAGGUUUCUCAUCAAGCCUUAUUACAAGGAGAAGGUGCUGGUAAGAUAAUUAAGGGAAGGCUGCAAGGUGUUGACCAAAAAAGAGAUGGAAGGCUGCAAGCAAAACCUAUUCAGAUAUGCUUCAUUAUUGCUCAGCUACUGAAGCUGCAUCCGGAGGAAGAGAUGCAGAACAAGUGACAAUAAAAUUGGAAAUAGAAGCUGAGGAAGCCAGUACACUGUGAGCCCGUUUAAUGUUGUCGAUUGUUUAAUUCAUUUGCAUCUGUCCAAAAGAUACUCAAGGUUUGUACAUCAUUUCAUCAUGGAGGAUGAAGAUUGGGAAGACCUGGAGUUGCCUCCCAGAUCAAACUUGCUUCAGUAUGCAAUUGGAAAGUUCUGUUCUUUGGAUCAUAGUGAGGCCACAGAAUUAUUGCAACAACCACCCCUUUACUGGCUUAUGAAUAAACACGUUAUUUUGUUGUAUGAAAUUUCAAAACUCGAGCAUGAGGGAAGAUUGUUAUUACUAAGUAUUCCCCAACCAGAUGUCGUAGUAUUGUUUUUUAAUUUGUUUCAACGUAAAUGGUUGUUCUUUAGUCUGUAUCAAUGUAAAUGGGUGUAGAUGAGAUUUGUGUUUAACUUACAAGCAAGUGUGCAUAUUCUCUUGAAAAAACAAGUAGUGUAAUUUAGUUGUUUUUAUAGUUAUAUAUGCUAUUGAUUUUCA